UUGUGUUCCGCGGUUUGAGGU
ensembl:piRNA 21ur-1728 ncRNA